AUUCAUAUGAAUAGGCUUCUUGAGCCUUGUGAAGAGUGAAUCCCAGGUGGGGUAAUUCUCACCACUGAGGAGAAAGAAUUUUUUGAAGAGGGCUGCAGAUCCGGUUGGAUAUGAAUACAGAUAUCACUCAAAGUCUGAAUGCAAUGAAUUCUAUUUCAAAGCAACAACUUUCAUAUUUCCUUAAAGAGGAAGUAUAUGUGUUUCAGUGACCUCUGACUAUACAGAGACAGAAAAACAAUUUGGAGAAAGAGAUAUUUUGAAGACUAUGUGACAGAAAGAAAGAAGAAAGAAAAAAGGAGGAAGAAAGAGAAAACGUGAAGGAGGAGCAGAAUAUUCUUCUUUUGGAAGGAAAAUACUUCCAGAUUGUGUCUGUUUUUUUAAAGAUUCCGUGGGAGGAUAUCCAGAGACACUCCUUGAUUUAAAACUUCAGCCUUCCCUCCCGCAAAUUCGGCUCUGGGUGCCUAUCAAUGCUACAGGACAGACGUGGGCCCAGAUAAGGCUGAAACACACCUCAACUCUCCGUCUCGGGUUUUGGGCUCACCUUAGAUGCACUCUAACUCUGCUCUGUCAGGCAUCCAGGAAGAACUACAUGCAUUUGGGUCAAUUUGGAUGGAGGAAAUGAAGAAUUAUCGAGUAAGAAAUCACCAUUCCUCUUUUGUGUACUAGAAGGCUCAACCCUGAAUGUACCUUCCUACUUUAAUGUCUGAAAUGUAUUAAUAAAUUACGAUAAAGAAUGAAACAGUGAAAACAAAACCCCAGAAUAAAAGAAAAGAAAACGUGU
rnacentral:lncRNA from 1 species